AUGCCCAACUCUUCGCCCAGCUGCCCGACGUCUACCCUGAUCUUUGUUCCGCGGACGCCCACCUCCUCCCCACAGAGGACGCCUAUUGCCAGGAGAAAGGUGUCUUGCUUUGGGUCCCAGGUGCCGCCCUCUGCCAUCAUCAACUACGAGCCAGCCACAGCCUCCCCUGACCCCUGCCGAGCUCAAGACGCAGCGACACCAGUGUACGUAUCGCCGGCUAGUGGUCACAACAGCGCCACGGCUCGCUCGCCCUUGUUCGUGCCUCUCCAGCCGGCCCUCCUGCCUGCACCAAGCUCAACCCCGCCACGUCGACCUGCUGCUCGUCGCAAAACUCUGGCAGGCAUCACCAGCUUCAACCUUGGACGGCGCAGCCCAUGUCUGCGGGAGAAGAUGCGAGAUGUGCCAAUCGCACAGCUUGCUGAGAGGCUGCUACGUCAACGUCUUGGCAUUGUUGCUGAAGGGGAGCAACUCACUGAAGCGGCCAUCAGCAAAUUCGUGUCAUUAUUUCAUGGGAGGUUGCCAGACAUCACCAUUGCGGCCCUGCGUGCACUCUUCCAUCUAGACUGUGACCUGCUGACGGCGGUUGAGGAUGCACUGGUUCAACACGGUGGUGAGGAUGGUCCAGAGCUGCAGAUGCAAGGAAAUGAAGACGCUGCAGCGUCGGCGACAUAG
rnacentral:rRNA from 1 species